rnacentral:rRNA from 1 species
AGCUCCAAUAGCGUAUAUUAAAGUUGUUGCGGUAAAAAAGCUCGUAGUUGGAUUUCUGUUGGGGACGACUGGUCCACACCAUGUGUGCGAUUUGGUUCGGCCUCGGCAUCCUUCCGAAAACUGCUUUUGCGCUUGAUUGCGUGGAAGUGGCUUCGGAACUUAUACUUUGAGGAAAUUAGAGUGUUCACGGCAGGCUAUCGCCAGAAUACAUUAGCAUGGAAUAUUACUAUAGGAUCUCGGUUCUAUUUUGUUGGUUUCUAGAACUGAGAUAAUGAUUAAUAGGGACAAUUGGGGGCAUUCGUAUCGACACGUCAGAGGUGGAAUUCUUGGAUUGUGUUGCGACGAACUACUGCGAAAGCAUUUGCCAAGGAUGUUUUCA